UGCGCAGGCGGUUAUGUAAGACAGUUGUGAAAUCCCCGGGCUCAACCUGGGAAUUGCAUCUGUGACUGCAUAGCUAGAGUACGGUAGAGGGGGAUGGAAUUCCGCGUGUAGCAGUGAAAUGCGUAGAUAUGCGGAGGAACACCGAUGGCGAAGGCAAUCCCCUGGACCUGUACUGACGCUCAUGCACGAAAGCGUGGGGAGCAAACA
rnacentral:rRNA from 1 species